GUGGCGAAAGGGUGAGGAAUAGAUAGGAACGUACCUUGUACUCUGGGAUAGCGUCCCGAAAGGGGCAGUAAUACCAGAUGAUAUGGUUUACCAUUAAAGAUUUAUCGGUAUAAGAGCGGCCUAUCUCCUAUCAGCUUGUUGGUGAGGUAAUGGCUUACCAAGGCUACGACGGGUAGCGGGACUGAGAGGUUGGCCCGCCACAUCGGGACUGAGACACUGCCCGGACCUCCACGGAGGGCUGCAGUAACGAAUAUUGGGUAAUGGGCGAAAGCCUGACCCAGCAAUGCCGCGUAUAGGAUGAAGCCCCUCGGGGUGUAAACUAUUGUCAGGUCCUAGAAAGUUUUCGAAUUGAUCAGGACCAGAGGAAGCAACGGCUAACUUCGUGCCAGCAGCCGCGGUAAUACGAAGGUUGCGAGCGUUAUUCGGAAUCACUGGGCUUAAAGCGCAUGUAGGCGGAAUUACAAGUGUCAUGUGAAAUCCCUCGGCUUAACCCGAGGACUUGCGAGGCAAACUGUAAUUCUUGAGGCAAGUAGGAGCGGGUGGAAUUCUUGGUGGGAGCGGUGGAAUGCGUAGAUAUCAAGAGGAACGCCAGUGGUGAAGACGACCCGCUGGGCUUGUACUGACGCUGANAUGCGAAAGCGUGGGGAGCAAACAGGAUUAGAUACCCUGGUAGUCCACGCCGUAAACGAUGUCUACUANGUGGNGGGAAGCUACUGACCUGUCACCNACCGAANCAAAAGUGUUAANUNNACCCCCUGGGNAAGUACCGGCCCAAGGGUUAAACUCAAANGAAUUGACNGGGGCUCACNCAAA
rnacentral:rRNA from 1 species